CAAGUGCAGGAGUCACUGAAAUGCCCUGGGAAAACCCGAGCCAAACAAGCCAGCAGUCACCCUACACCCGAGGAAGCUGAUAAGAUUUAGGGGCCACGGUGGGAAGGGAGGAGACCCCUGGCAGGGCCCUGGGUCUGUUGUGGCAGCUGUCUGGCGAGUCUGUGGCCAUGUGAUUGAAGAGUGCAUUUACUAUCGGUGGAUUUUAAAUCUCCUUUUUUAAACACGAGUCUCCAGAGAGCCUGUCAGAGGCGGGCGACAGCUCCCCAGAGAGCAGUUUCCAAACUCCUGGUGGCUGAGUCUAUUUUGUUUUAUUAAAGAAGGCCGGCUGAACGUUUCCUCCUGUUCUCAUGCUGUGGACUCGAGAAUGCGGAGAGCCAAACUCCUCUGCAGAGCACGGCCAGCAGGAUGCCAACGAGGACCUUCCCAGCUCUGGGCCUCUCUGGCUUCUGGACUCAGGAGGAUGGACUAUCUCAUCACCUGCAGCAGUGACCUUGCAGCUUCUGCUGUGGGCUUAUCCAUAGCUGAGAGAUUGACCCAGAGUCCAGAGACUGGGUAGAAAGAACAGGAGCUGUGGAGCUGGAAGACCUGUGUGUGAAUUCUGGCUUUGUUUCUUCCUCCCCUGGUGACCUGGGAUGAAACAGCUUGGCUGAGGGACAUGCUGCUGGACUGAGCGGGUGGAGGAAUACCCAGGAGACUCGACUGUGUUACAGAGAAACCCCGCACUUCAUUCUGGUCUCCUCGGUUCAAAAUAGGGAGUUGACCGGACAGCUUUGGAACCUUCCCACUUCCUGAUCCUGCAAUUCCUGGGGAAAAACCUCUCUUAUUCUAGAGAUGAGAGACUGAAGAUACCAGUGUGGUAGCGGCAGCUUCUUGGGAGGCAGGGUGUCCGCUGAAGGAGCAGCACGCCUGCUGGAAAGGUGUGGAGAGGGAGGACCAGGGGCUCGCCCCUCCUCCUAGGACCCGGGUUCCUUGGUCCUGGGGGCAGGCCUGCCUUCCUUCUCCGGGUAAGUCGUAUGUCCCAGGCUACCCGGGCCUCUCCUGGUGCCUUCCUGGGCCUCUGUCAGUGGAGGCAACUUCUGGUCACAGAGCUUCUCAACUCGCAGGCUGGUGUGGGUGCUUGGUGUGCUCAGGGGUCAGUGUGUUGGAGCCCCGUCACCCAUGCCCCCUAGUGUGCCCCAUAAAUAUGAGUUUGUGUGUGUGCCCUUUUCAAAAGGUCCAGGAGAACUGGCCCCCAGGGACAAAGACAAGACCGUACCUGGCCGUUUGGGAGAAGUGGAUGUGUUAUGUGCAGAUAAGAAGGUGGUUAGACCUCUCUCCUUCCCUGGCGACGGAAGCUCGGCUGCUUCUCUGAGCUGUUUCCUCUGGGCUCUCUUGCUGUGAAGGGCUCACAGUGGCUGUCGCUGUCCCCUGGGUCUUCUCUUCCUCCUAAAGCACAGGAAGGCUCGGUGGCCUCAGCACCAUCUAAGAGGCAUAGGAAGAGUGUCUGGCCUCUGUCUCUGGGGACACACUGCCUGGGGGGCGGGGUGGCUGUUUGCUGAAGUUGGUGGAUGUGACCCUGUGACGUCCAAGCUGGACAGACCUGCUGGGGUCUCGGCAGCUACUGAAGAAACAGUGCAGGCUUCUUUUUGCUGGGGCUCCGUGUUCUCUCCCAACAUGGGAGGAGGCGUUCCCAGGAGCAGAAGUGUGGGGCAGACCAGGGUCUUUAACAAAUGUGAACAGAAUGGCCUCAGCGUCUCUGUGUGGGGCGUGCAGGCCAGUGAGGGGAGUUCCCGCCAAGGCCCAGGGACAUUUCUUGAAUAAAAGCUGCAGGUGUUUCCAAGUUGCCUACAGGUGCGUAUUUGGAAGAGAACGCGCCUGUGAGGGUGAUCGGACCGAUUCUUUCCAGACCACAGAGCCUGCCUGUAGCAUCUGCCUCUGACGCUCAUACUCAGGAACACAAACCAAGCCCACAAGCAGUUAAACAAAAUAUGUUCUGUCCUCAUACUUUGAAAACUCUAUAGUCACAUAUUUUUUUUCAUAUAUUUCAAGACAAAA